rnacentral:rRNA from 1 species
GUCCUUAUGGUUUUUUAUAAGGUCUUACCUGCCCAGUGAUUUAUUUUUAAACGGCCGCGGUAUUUUGACCGUGCAAAGGUAGCAUAAUCAUUAGUCUCUUAAUAGGAGACUGGAAUGAAGGGUUUGACGAGGUAAUAGCUGUCUCGGUGAAAUAUUUUUGAAUUUAGCUUUUGAGUUAAAAGGCUCAAAUUUUUUUGGAAGACGAGAAGACCCUAUAGAGCUUUAUUAUCAAUUUGUUAACUACUUUAGUUGUAUUACUUUUGUUAUCGAUUUGAUUUUUUGGUUGGGGUGACGAAAAAUAUAUAGUUAACUUUUUUAUUUAUAAUUCAUUUAUUUAUGUUUAUUAGAUCCAUUAUUAUUGAUUAAUAGAAUAAGUUACCUUAGGGAUAACAGCGUAAUCUUCCCUUCGAGUUCUUAUUUUCGGGAAGGCUUGCGACCUCGAUGUUGGAUUAAGAUUAUAUUUGGGUGCAGCAGCUCAAUUAAUAGGUCUGUUCGACCUUUAAAUUCUUACAUGAUCUGAGUUCAGACCGG